rnacentral:lncRNA from 1 species
UCUUUGCCUUCCAAAUCAUCCAUAUGGUCAUGUGAGCCAGCUAUAACGUCAGUUUUCCACUCCUUUUCCCUAUUGAGCUCAUCUUUAAUAUAUCCAUCAACACCAAAUAAGAAUAUGAUUGCACAUGAAAAAUCAAAGAUCAUGAUCAAAACCAUUUCCAUACCUCAUAUCAUAGGCAAAAUAAUAUGCAAAAAAAAAAAACAUGAUCCAAUUUUCCUCAUUAGAUUGACAUAGUAGGCUCAACGUGGAGGGAACAUUGAUUCCAUGUAUUGAGACUUUGAGAGAUUGGAGAAUAUGAGAGCUCCUUUCUUGAACACACAUCAUACAAAGAAUCAAAAUUUAAAGGAACCCAUCGCACCCAUUUAAAAGACUCCAUAACCCUCUCCAAUGAUUUGUCCACCCCCAUUUAAACAUCACACCUGAGAACCGAAAGUUAGUAAUCAAAUUAACAAGAUCCGAUAACUAGUUGGUCUCUCAUCCCCUUCUUAGUUUUCAUGUCCAAAUUCUACAAUUCUAUAAAACAUAUCAUCCCCUAUUUUGACCCUAUCAACAAUCAGUCGAUCCUUAUUAGCUUCAAUCACAUAUGAGUUCAAGUAGACUUCUUUCGAGGCCAAUUUGCUACACCAAAUAUCUCCCCUAAAGAAGGUUCUAUUGCCUUCAACCCAUUCUAUGAAAGAGGCCAUUAAGCGAAAUUCCAUGAUUUUCAAACUCCUCCUCAUGUCGAUCAGAAUAGCUUUCAUCAACACAGGGGUUUAAACUCGCUAUAGUUUUUGCUAUGAGCAAAAUGGGGCACAUCCUAAUGCAAGUAAUAAAUCUUGUCAUUUAUUAUAACCACUUUUGCAAAAGACUGUAUUGUUAUGUCAUUUCUUUCUCCUUUUAUAUAUAAAUAAUUUUGAAAU